UACGUAUGGAGCAAGCGUUAUCCGGAUUUACUGGGUGUAAAGGGAGCGUAGACGGUCAAGUAAGUCUGAUGUGAAAGGUGUGGGCUCAAUCCGCAAACUGCAUUGAAAACUGUUUAACUGGAGUGUCGGAGAGGUAAGUGGAAUUCCUAGUGUAGCGGUGAAAUGCGUAGAUAUUAGGAGGAACACCAGCGGCGAAGGCGGCUUACUGGACGAUAACCGACGUUGAGGCUCGAAGGCGUGGGGAGCAAAC
rnacentral:rRNA from 1 species